UACGUAGGGGGGCAAGCGUUGUCCGGAUUUAUUGGGCGUAAAGAGCGUGUAGGCGGCCAGAUAGGUCAGCUGUGAAAACUCGAGGCUCAACCUCGAGACGUCGGUUGAAACCAUCUGGCUAGAGUCCGGAAGAGGAGAGUGGAAUUCCCCGGUGUAGCGGUGAAAUGCGCAGAUAUCGGGAAGAACACCCGUGGCGAAGGCGGCUCUCUGGGGACGGUACUGACGCUGAGACGCGAAAAGCGUGGGGGAGCGAACAGG
rnacentral:rRNA from 1 species